UGGUAAAUAGGGUGGUGUGGAUUACUAAGUAGCUAAACGGUUUCUUCACAUAUGUUUGUGUAUUAAAAAAAUAAAAAUAACCCGGUGCGCCGAGGUCUGGUCGGCGUAGGUCCUGUAUUCAUUUUACAAAGACCCGCUCCCAUUAUUGAUAAAUAUUUCUGCAGUAAUCAAGCAGUGCUCAUGCGCACACAACUAAUAUGCAGAUAAACGUAACGUAUACAAUUUUUACUCUUACGCCUAAGUUCUUUACCAAAUCAUCAGAUGUUUUUGAAAAUAGACAAUGUUCUUAUCGGGAUUAGGAUACCUGUGGAAAGUCACGCAUUUUCAUCUGGCAGACCACUGAUCAGUUGUUGUCAUCUGAAACCAGACUCGUGUUGUAGUACUUGACCUUUGCAUUGAAAUUAAUCUUACAAAUCGGCUUUUUCCCUAGAAACCUCUUGGCAAAAGUAAUUUCCAAGGAUGAACCAAGACAAUUAUACUGCAUCUGAGAUUAGUAUACAGCAAGGGUAGAGUUUAUUUUCUGUGAUUUUUCUCCUGUACAAACAGGUAUGUGUAUCUAAUAAAGACGGCUGUCAAGAAAA